CCUACGGGAGGCAGCAGUGGAGAAUAUUGCACAAUGGGGGAAACCCUGAUGCAGCGACGCCGCGUGAGUGAAUAAGUAAUUCGUUAUGUAAAGCUCUAUCAGCAGGGAAGAAAAUGACGGUGCCUGACUAAGAAGCCCCGGCUAACUACGUGCCAGCAGCCGCGGUAAUACGUAGGGGGCAAGCGUUAUCCGGAUUUACUGGGUGUAAAGGGAGCGUAGGCGGUUUAGCAAGUCAGAAGUGAAAGCCCGGGGCUCAACUCCGGGACGGCCUAUGAAACUGUUGAACUAGAUUGCAGGAGAGGGAAGUGGAAUUCCUGGUGUAGCGGUGAAAUGCGUAGAUAUUAGGAGGAACACCAGUGGCGAAGGCGGCUUACUGGACUGUAAAUGACGCUGAGGCUCGAAAGCGUGGGGAGCAAACAGGAUUAGAUACCCCUGUAGUC
rnacentral:rRNA from 1 species